rfam:Brassica napus, WGS project CCCW01000000 data, contig: 8590
UCCCGGUGAUGAAAGUUUUAGUAAUCUUGAACGGUGAGAAAAUGGGGCUCCCUCUUGGGUAAACUUACCAUGGAGGUUUUAGAGGAACCAUUGCUGUAGAUUCUUGGCAACUUCUGAGGGUU